GGAAUUACUGGGCGUAAAGCGCACGCAGGCGGUCUGUCAAGUCGGAUGUGAAAUCCCCGGGCUCAACCUGGGAACUGCAUUCGAAACUGGCAGGCUUGAGUCUUGUAGAGGGGGGUAGAAUUCCAGGUGUAGCGGUGAAAUGCGUAGAGAUCUGGAGGAAUACCGGUGGCGAAGGCGGCCCCCUGGACAAAGACUGACGCUCAGGUGCGAAAGCGUGGGGAGCAAACAGGAUUAGAUACCCUGGUAGUCCACGCCGUAAACGAUGUCUACUUGGAGGUUGUGCCCUUGAGGCGUGGCUUCCGGAG
rnacentral:rRNA from 1 species